GGCAAGAAGAAGAGCACAAUUUGUACGCAUUGGAAUGCCGACAGUCUGUUGAAAAACACGUCCUCCGAACGUAACAAAUAUGUUGUCAAUCAAGAAAAAAAGCAUCUUGAUAAUGUCAGUUUCAGAGAAUCUUUUGUUUGAAUCAGAGUGAUCCUUUACAAAGUAGGAUUUAUCCCUUCCUAAGAUAAGAUACUUGUAUCUACGUUGG
rnacentral:lncRNA from 1 species